AUUGAACGCUGGCGGCAUGCCUUACACAUGCAAGUCGAACGGCAGCACGGGAGCAAUCCUGGUGGCGAGUAGCGAACGGGUGAGUAAAGUAUCGGAACGUGCCCAGUCGUGGGGGAUAACGUAGCGAAAGUUACGCUAAUACCGCAUACGAUCUAUGGAUGAAAGCGGGGGAUCGCAAGACCUCGCGCGAUUGGAGCGGCCGAUAUCAGAGUAGGUAGUUGGUGGGGUAAAGGCUCACCAAGCCGACGAUCUGUAGCUGGUCUGAGGGGACGACCAGCCACACUUGGACUGAGAACCGGCCCAGACCCCGACGGGGAGCAGAAGGGGGGAAUUUUGGAAAAUGGGGGCAAGCCUGAGCCAUCCAUGCCGCGUGCAGGAUGAAGGGCUUCGGGUUGUAAACUUCUUUUAUAAGGGACGAAAAAAGGCUUUUCUAAGUCGUCUGACGGUACCUUAUGAAUAAGCACCGGCUAACUCCGUGCCAGCAGCCGCAGUAA
rnacentral:rRNA from 1 species